CCUACGGGGGGCAGCAGUGAGGAAUAUUGGUCAAUGGACGAGAGUCUGAACCAGCCAAGUAGCGUGAAGGAUGACUGCCCUAUGGGUUGUAAACUUCUUUUAUAUGGGAAUAAAAUGUUCCACGUGUGGGAUUUUGUAUGUACCAUAUGAAUAAGGAUCGGCUAACUCCGUGCCAGCAGCCGCGGUAAUACGGAGGAUCCGAGCGUUUUCCGGAUUUUUUGGGUUUAAAGGGAGCAGAGGUGGGUUGUUAAGGCCGUUGUGAAAGUUUGGGGCUCAACCGUAAAAUUGCAGUUGAAACUGGCAGUCUUGAGUACAGUAGAGGUGGGCGGAAUGCGUGGUGUAGCGGUGAAAUGCUUAGAUAUCACGAAGAACUCCGAUUGCGAAGGCAGCUUACUGGAGUGCAACUGACACUGAGGCUCGAAAGUGUGGGUAUCGAACAGGAUUAGAUACCCCUGUAGUC
rnacentral:rRNA from 1 species